GUGCUUGCUCAGGCAGCACAUAUGAUAAAUGGUAAUCGAUACAGAGAAGAUUAGCAUUGGCCCCUGCGAAAGGACGAGACGCAAAUUUGUGAAGCGUUUCCACAUUUU
ensembl:snRNA U6 U6 spliceosomal RNA